AUAUCAAAGACGGAACGAACUUGGGUUGAAACCGGCGUACGCGAAUAGCUCUCUUUGAUCAAUUAACUAAAGUAACUGUGCUCCAUAGUUGUACGUGUUCGUAGGGAAUGCGCCGUACAAAUAUUCCUAUUCAUAUGUGAACAACCCACGGACACAGAGCAUCGCCUUCAAAUGCUACACGGCUGCGACAAAAAUCCGGCAAACGAACGGACAAAAUAAACGCAAAGAAACGAAUGCCACCCCGCAUCGAUUCGUUGCAGAGUACGCGACGACGUCAUGGGGGCCGGACUCAACGGGUCCGGGGACUUCCGUGACGUCAAUUACCGAGAACCCGCUGGACACGGCCCUAAAAAUAGUCCUGAAGUCGUAUAACGACAUCGUUGGAUGGUUGGAUGUCGGUGCCAUUCGGAUGGGGGAAACUUACGUUUGCCAAGCGAGCGCGUAUCGUCCCUCGGCGAUAAACUGGUCUGAAAAUUUUUCACGAUAGUUUUCCCGUAAUAGUUACGUUUUCGGAUACAGGAUAUUCCGUUAUUCGCUCGAAUAUCAACAAUCCGCAACUGUAUCGGGGACGUGAAAGUUAUGGGGCGGCGGUUCCGUAAUAUCGCGCUACCCGAACACGAAAAAGCUCGUUGCUAAGCAAACGAAUUACGAUUUACCCAAAUUAUUUCACGCGCUUAACUUUCUUCAUCCCCAAUAUAUAUAUAUGUAUACGUACGCCUAUCGGCACUCGACAAAGACAAACUUUCCCACCCUUCGCGAUACCUCCGUGCGAUUCGUUGUCCCUCUGCGACGAGUCGGUUUUUCCUCUUUUCCUCCCAUGUCAUUUUUGGCACCGAUCCCUGUGGAUGUGCAAUCGCAUUCAGUUCGUGACAUAAUUUUUUCUCAUUGUUAGACAAACUCCGCUCUGACAUAAUGUUUGCGUUGUUGUAUAUUUUAGGGGAUAGUAGAGAUGUAACGUAAUACUUAUUGUGAUUCUUGAGCAAUCAUGAACGAUAUACAUGUGCACACACAAUAUAUCUAAGAGAUUACCUGACAUAAUUGCGGGGUGAAUAUAACUACACGUGAGAGAUAAUGAAGAGAAAAAAUUUUAUAUUUAAAAAAUCAAUUCGCACGUAGGCGUGAUGAUAUACGAGAGGCAAGCAAAGUAGUAGUUUCUGUGGUUUAUUUUUAUCCGACGACGCACGAGAACGCUCCGUCGACAAGUUUUCAUUACAUAAUUACGCGCUGAAGGUGGAUACCUAUUACACUUUUUUUUCUCCUCUUUCAAUUUAAUGCACGUUGUUUCAUAUUCUUACAAAGGGAAGUACUCUCGAAGUAUAUCGCGGAGUACGCGAUGAACUUUGAAGUCCGGGAAAUUUUAUAACACCCAUUUUCGUUUGUUCUCUUCGUGCAUUCCGCCACGUAUAUAGGAAAAAUGAUCUUUUCUUUCAAAGUUAGUCUCUUUGUAAAACGAGAUCUCGUUAUGCGAGAAAAGAGAAAAAAAAAAAACACACGCACGGGGUGGCGGUCGUUAAUUGUACUUUACACGGACGGCGCGGGCGAGACUAAAAGGUAACACUCCUCCGCGUUGUUACUCCGUUUAAUGAUGGGCGGAGGAUAUCGGCUACUUGUCAUUUCCGACGUUUCGAGUUCCCUUUUUUACCGUAAUCGUAAUCCGUAUUUUACACCUUCUAGUUUAAAAAAAUAUGAACCCUGAAUAAGAAUUAACAUUCUUGAUAAUCGAGGGUAAGUUUUAUUCGAAAAGAUCAAAUCCCAUUCUUUUUUUUUCUUCAUUCGUUUUUAUAUCUCCUAUCGUUUUAAGCUCUAUUUUCUCUUUUCUAUUCUAUAGAUCGCAGAGUCCGAAAUGACGUUAGCUGCGGUCCAGCCGGAGAAAAUUUUAGGUGGAGAAAAUGCAACGUGAAUCGGGAUGUAAAGGAUUUACAUCUGCGGUGGUUCGUCGGUGUCACUUUUCCACGUCUUGACCGCCGUCCACCGCGUACGUGGGUGAACUGUUAUAAUUGGAUUAAUUACAUCGAUACACGUGUAGGUGAAGCAAAAUUGUGCCAAUUAGCGUUCGUUAUAUCUACCGGUCGAGAUUCCUACCUACAGGUAUAUCCUCGCUAUAUAAGGGAUUUUACGACUCCAAAGGAGCUUAUCGUUCUACCAUUCGUAAUCCCUACGCUAUCCGAGUUUAAUACUGACAGUGAAGAGUGAAGAGCCUUAUUUCUAAUACCAUUAUUAUUGCGGAGCAAAAGUUUCGUCGACUGUGCAGAGAGAGAGAGAGAGAGAAAAAGAGAGGGAAAUGAAGAGGGAGAAGGUGGCGUUGCGACGUGCACAUAUUAUGGAAACAAACAUAUUUCACAUUGUCGGUUAUAAUCAGAAUAAAAUCCCUCGGGAUCUUGAGGAAAAACGAA